AACGAACGCUGGCGGCAUGCCUAACACAUGCAAGUCGAACGAGACCUUCGGGUCUAGUGGCGCACGGGUGCGUAACGCGUGGGAACCUGCCCUUAGGUUCGGAAUAACUCCCCGAAAGGGGUGCUAAUACCGGAUAAUGUCUUCGGACCAAAGAUUUAUCGCCUUUGGAUGGGCCCGCGUUGGAUUAGCUAGUUGGUAGGGUAAAAGCCUACCAAGGCGACGAUCCAUAGCUGGUCUGAGAGGAUGAUCAGCCACACUGGGACUGAGACACGGCCCAGACUCCUACGGGAGGGAGCAGAGGGGGAUAUUGGACUGUGGGCGAAAGCCUGAUCCAGCAAUGCCGCGUGAGUGAUGAAGGCCUUAGGGUUGUAAAGCUCUUUUACCCGGGAUGAUAAUGACGGUACCGGAAGAAUAAGCUCCGGCUAACUCCGUG
rnacentral:rRNA from 1 species